rnacentral:rRNA from 1 species
UUAAGGGUGCAGGGCGGAUGCCUUGGCACUAGGAGCCGAUGAAGGACGUGAUAAGCUGCGAUAAGCUUCGGGGAGUUGCACGUAAACUUUGAUCCGAAGAUUUCCGAAUGAGGAAACUCACUUAGAGUAAUGUCUAAGUAUCAUUAAGUGAAUACAUAGCUUAAUGAGGGGAACUCAGGGAACUGAAACAUCUAAGUACCUGAAGGAAGAGAAAGAAAUUCGAUUCCGUAAGUAGCGGCGAGCGAACGCGGAUUAGCCCAAACCAAUAAAGUUUUCUUUAUUGGGGUUGCGGACAUAUCAUAACGAAGAGGUAUCGUAAUUGAAGAGGUUUGGAAAGACCCACCACAGAAGGUAAUAGUCCUGUAUGUUAAACGAGAAGACUUCAGAUAUGAUCCAGAGUACCACGGGACACGUGAAACCCUGUGGGAAGCAGGAGGGACCACCCUCCAAGGCUAAAUACUACCUAGUGACCGAUAGCGUAUAGUACCGUGAGGGAAAGGUGAAAAGAACCCCGGGAGGGGAGUGAAAUAGAACCUGAAACCCUGCACUUACAAGCUGUGGAAGCACAUUUCUUGUGUGACCGCGUACUUUUUGUAGAACGGGCCAACGAGUUACGUUAAGUAGCAAGGUUAAGCACUUAAGGUGCGGAGCCGUAGCGAAAGCGAGUUUUAACUGAGCGUUCAGUUACUUGACGUAGACCCGAAACCGGGCGACCUACCCAUGAGCAGGAUGAAGCGAAAGUAAAAUUUCGUGGAGGUCCGAACCCACGAGCGUUGAAAAGCUCGGGGAUGACUUGUGGGUAGCGGUGAAAUUCCAAUCGAGCCCGGAGAUAGCUGGUUCUCCCCGAAAUAGCUUUAGGGCUAGCCUCAAGGUGAGAGAUACGGAGGUAGAGCACUGAAUGUCCUAGGGGGUAUUGCACCUACCGAAGACUAUCAAACUCCGAAUGCCGUCAUCUUAUACUUGGGAGUCAGACUGUGGGUGAUAAGAUUCAUAGUCGAAAGGGCAACAGCCCAGAUCGUCAGCUAAGGUCCCUAAAUGUAAGUUAAGUGGUAAAGGAUGUGGGAUUGCACAGACAACCAGGAUGUUGGCUUAGAAGCAGCCACUCAUUCAAAGAGUGCGUAAUAGCUCACUGGUCGAGUGAUCCUGCGCCGAAGAUUUCCGGGGCUAAAACUUACUACCGAAGCUACGGCAUCAGUAAUGAUGGGUAGGGGAGCUUCCCAUACGGGUUGAAGCAUGACCGUAAGGACAUGUGGACAGUAUGGGAGUGAGAAUGUUGGCAUGAGUAGCGAGAUGUGGGUGAGAAUCCCACAGGCCGUAAACCCAAGGUUUCCAGGGGAAGGUUCGUCCGCCCUGGGUUAGUCGGGACCUAAGCUGAGGCCGAAAGGCGUAGGUGAUGGACAACAGGUUGAUAUUCCUGUACUACCGAUAACCGUUUGAGAGAAGGGAUGACACAGUAGGAUAAGCUAAGCACACUGUUGGUUAUGUGUGCCCAAGCAUUGAGGCAGUCAAAGUAGGCAAAUCCGCUUUGAUAAUGCUGGGAUGUGAUGGGGAGCGAAAUUUAGUAGCGAAGUAGCUGAUUUCACACUGUCAAGAAAAGUCUCUAUCGAGGUUAAAGGUACCCGUACCGCAAACCGACACAGGUGGGUGAGGAGAGUAUCCUAAGGCCAGCGAGAGAACUGUUGUUAAGGAACUCGGCAAAAUGACCCCGUAACUUAGGGAUAAGGGGUGCCACCAUCAGGUGGCCGCAGAGAAUAGGCCCAAGCGACUGUUUACCAAAAACAUAGGUUUCUGCUAAGUCGCAAGACGAUGUAUAGGAGCUGACGCCUGCCCGGUGCUGGAAGGUUAAGGGGAUCUGUUAGAGCAAUCGAAGCAGUGAACUUAAGCCCCAGUAAACGGCGGCCGUAACUAUAACGGUCCUAAGGUAGCGAAAUUCCUUGUCGGGUAAGUUCCGACCCGCACGAAAGGCGUAACGAUUUGGGCACUGUCUCAACAACAGACUCGGUGAAAUUGUAAUUCCGGUGAAGAUGCCGGAUACCUGCGACAGGACGGAAAGACCCCAUGGAGCUUUACUGUAGCUUGACAUUGGGUCUUGGUACUACAUGUACAGGAUAGGUGGGAGGCUUUGAAACCAGGACGCCAGUUUUGGCGGAGCCAUCCUUGGGAUACCACCCUUGUAGUACUGGGACUCUAACCAUAGGCCAUGAAUCUGGUCUUGGGACACUGUCAGGUGGGCAGUUUGACUGGGGCGGUCGCCUCCCAAAAGGUAACGGAGGCGCUCAAAGGUUCUCUCAGUACGGUCGGAAAUCGUACGUAGAGUGUAAAGGCAAAAGAGAGCUUGAUUGCAAGACAUACAGGUCGAGCAAGGAUGAAAAUCGGACUUAGUGAUCCGGUGGUUCUGCGUGGAAGGGCCAUCGCUCAACGGAUAAAAGCUACCCUGGGGAUAACAGGCUUAUCUCCCCCAAGAGUCCACAUCGACGGGGAGGUUUGGCACCUCGAUGUCGGCUCAUCACAUCCUGGGGCUGUAGUAGGUCCCAAGGGUUGGGCUGUUCGCCCAUUAAAGUGGUACGCGAGCUGGGUUCAGAACGUCGUGAGACAGUUCGGUCCCUAUCCGUCGCAGGCGUAGGAAAUU